ACGGGAGGCAGCAGUGGGGAAUCUUGCGCAAUGGGGGCAACCCUGACGCAGCGACGCCGCGUGCGGGACGAAGGCCCUCGGGUCGUAAACCGCUUUCAGCAGGGAAGACUUACGGACGGUACCUGCAGAAGAAGCCCCGGCUAACCACGUGCCAGCAGCCGCGGUAACACGUGGGGGGCGAGCGUUGUCCGGAUUCAUUGGGCGUAAAGCGCGCGCAGGCGGCCGCCUAAGCGGGACCUCUAACCCCGGGGCUCAACCCCGGGCCGGGUCCCGGACUGGGCGGCUCGGGUGCGGUAGGGGGGGACGGAAUUCCCGGUGUAGCGGUGGAAUGCGCAGAUAUCGGGAGGAACACCGACGGCGAAGGCAGUCCCCUGGGCCGUCACCGACGCUGAGGCGCGAAAGCCGGGGGAGCGAACAGGAUUAGAUACCCUGGUA
rnacentral:rRNA from 1 species